GUGUCAGCCGCCGCGGUAAGACGAACCGUCCGAACGUUAUUCGGUAUCACUGGGCUUAAAGGGUGCGUAGGCGGCUCCGUAAGUAGGAUGUGAAAGCCCUCGGCUCAACCGAGGAAUUGCGUUCAAAACUGCGGGGCUCGAGGGAGGCAGAGGUGAGUGGAACUUGCGGUGGAGCGGUGAAAUGCGUUGAUAUCGCAAGGAACACCGGUGGCGAAAGCGGCUCACUGGGCCUCUUCUGACGCUGAGGCACGAAAGCUAGGGGAGCGAACGGGAUUAGAUACCCCGGUAGUCCUAGCCGUAAACGAUGCGGACUAGGUGUGGGAGGUAUUGACCCCUUCCGUGCCGUAGCUAACGCGUUAAGUCCGCCGCCUGGGGACUACGGCCGCAAGGCUAAAACUUAAAUGAAUUGACGGGG
rnacentral:rRNA from 1 species